GUCCCUGUCGAUUAGUGGUUAGAUCAUCACGUUGUGGUCAACACAGUUCCGUGAAGACGCAGGCUCGAAUCCUGCCUGGGACA
rnacentral:tRNA from 1 species